CCGACCUUAGCUCAGUUGGCAGAGCGGAGGACUGUAGUGGUUACUGUAAUCCUUAGGUCGCUGGUUCGAAUCCGGCAGGUCGGA
rfam:Populus trichocarpa scaffold_8_contig_46, whole genome shotgun sequence.